rnacentral:rRNA from 1 species
GAUGAACGCUGGCGGCGUGCCUAAUACAUGCAAGUCGAGCGAACAGACGAGGAGCUUGCUCCUCUGACGUUAGCGGCGGACGGGUGAGUAACACGUGGAUAACCUACCUAUAAGACUGGGAUAACUUCGGGAAACCGGAGCUAAUACCGGAUAAUAUAUUGAACCGCAUGGUUCAAUAGUGAAAGACGGUUUUGCUGUCACUUAUAGAUGGAUCCGCGCCGCAUUAGCUAGUUGGUAAGGUAACGGCUUACCAAGGCAACGAUGCGUAGCCGACCUGAGAGUGUGAUCGGCCACACUAGAACUGAGACACGGUCCAGACUCCUACGGGAGGCAGCAGUAGGGAAUCUUCCGCAAUGGGCGAAAGCCUGACGGAGCAACGCCGCGUGAGUGAUGAAGGUCUUCGGAUCGUAAAACUCUGUUAUUAGGGAAGAACAAAUGUGUAAGUAACUAUGCACGCCUUGACGGUACCUAAUCAGAAAGCCACGGCUAACUACGUG